GCUCUAUUAACUCAGAUGGUUAGAGUGCUGGUCUUAUGAGCUAGAAGUCAUGGGUUCGAAUCCCAUAUAGAGCA
rnacentral:tRNA from 1 species